GUCACAGGACAACUUUUCCUUAGGGGAAUACAAUAGUAUUGCCUGACUCUCCAAACAAGAAUCAUCUAAGGGAUGCCAGAUGAAAUGAACCUCAGUGACGUCAAGCAAAUCCAUCAAACAGAUGGUGGAAGCACUUUAGACUCAAGUGGAGCAGGCCGCUCAGCAAUGACUGUUCAUAUGACAUUUACUCUGAUUAGUGUGGCAACAUUCAUAUUCAGUCUUUGGUAACAGAAUAAUUCUGGCUCAAUUCAUGUGUCUUGCUGCUAUCGUCAUUCCCCUCCCUCCCUUCAUAAGCCCAGAAUAAUAAAUCUGUUGAAUGUAGAAAUUAUAUGUAUGGUAGUAGUUAUCUUAUUAACCUCUUAGAUACCAUAUUUGAAUAUUCAAAAAGUAUCUGAUUAUUGCCUUGCUUUAAAAUAGGAAGGUUAUCUUUAAAUUUUAAAAAAAUCAUUUUUUUUUGGUUUGGGGAAUAGACAACAUGAAAAAUAUAGCACAUCCCUCCUGCAAAUGUAAACAGCAUGAAACUGUUUUAAACUAAAAUAAUAUGUUGUAUAUUUUAAAAUAUAUAUUUUAAGAUUCUUGUUUUCUGAAGGAAAGCCCUAGUAAAUUUGAAUUAUAAAGUUUGUAAAACAAUGGAACAUUUCAUAUCAACCACUAAAAUAAUAAAAAUUCAAAUCCCACUAUGUUAUGCACAUAUUUCCAAUUAUUCUGCUAACAAUCACACUGGCUACUUUAUGUUUCUUGUAAGUCAUAUAAGGAAGGGUAAACCUGGGCUGAAAAAUGACAUUUCAUAUUGUUACAUGAUGAAAUUUAGUUGAUUUUUAUCCAUUCCAAUUUAGCUAUUAAUAGUUCUUAUAAAUGGUUGUUAUGGUUGUGACUGACUCAUAUUCCAUUACACCAUAAGUUUGUCUUGAGUAUCCUUGUACAUUCAUCUUUCCCUUGCUUGCCUAAUAGAUUUAGGUAUUCUAUAUACCAUAUACAGACUACACCUUAGGAGUAUAUCUACUCAACUGAUUGACUUUUAUGUGGAAAAAUACUUUAAGGAAUAUCAGUCAUUUUUUUGGCCAAAUAAUACAUAAGUCAUUCAUACUUCAAAAAGUAACCCAGAAUAUUGUUAGAUUUUUUAAGCCCUAAACUUCCGAUAAAGUUGAGCAUCAAUGAAUUUCUAAGAUGACUCUGAUUAGCCAAAGAAAACAUAAUUAUUAACAGUAUAAAAAACUUGGACAUUAAAUUUAUACCUUUUCUUUUCCCAGUAUAUUAGGAAAGUUGCUGAUCUGCAGUCCCUGAUUUCCCAGUUCCCAGUCCCAGUAUGCUGAUGUCUCAGCAUACAAUGAUUAGGUUAAGUUUAUGACACUAUAUAAAGAGGAAGAGAUAAGUCAGAUUUUAUUAAGGAAUAUCGCAUUCAGUCAAUGGCCAAUGAUUAUAAUUAAUGUGAAUUGUCGUCCUAAUAAAGAGAAGUGCUGAGCCUCUUUUUAUAAUGACUUGAAAGGACAUGGAACGACCUCUGAUGAAACAGCUAAAGAGGACUCAGUCAACAGCAAAAAGCACUAAAGUAAAAGUUGUUUCCAACAUAGGGAACAGUCUAUCAAUAAAGCAUGUUCUUUCCAAAAUCUAUACUAAAUUAGAAUCACACACACGUGCCCAUGCACACACACACACACACACACACAUUAUUCUUGCUGAAAAUAUUUUUGGAUCAUCUCUUUUGAGUUUGCCUUCAGAUUCUAGGAUACAUUCUCUGGCAAAGCCCUCCUAUAGAAGGACAACCAAUUCUACUUUGGGGUGAAAAGAUCAGACUCCCUAUAUACUCAUGGAUUUAAUAGAUCAGACUGUUACCUCUCUUGUAAGUUAAAUGUUGGAAGAAACAGAAAGAGGAUGAUAUUGAUAAGUUAAAUUAAGUGGAAUUGAUAAAGGCAAUAAGAGAUAGAACUGCUUGUAGAUUAGGGACUCCUAACACCUAUAGUAGGAAGUAAUAAAUAGAUCAGGUUCUGGGAAAAAAUUUUAAGAAGAGUUUAAGACUACUAGAAAUACCAGGAAAUUACCAGAUAAUAUUCUUAUGACCCUCUCUGGAUAAAGAAGGAGGCAAUAACAUUUCACAAAGCUUUCUUUUAUUUUUCUCCUUAAAAUUUCAAUAUUGAUUAAGAAUAUAUCAGUCAACUGAAUUCAGUUGAUAUAAGUAACUGUGUAUGUACAUAUAUGUAAGCAUAUAUAGAGUAGUUCUUUGGAAUAAUAUAAAUUACAUUAAUUGUCAGUUGGCAUCUUUGGCUUUGUGAGGACAUAGACACAAUUCUAUUCAUUUUGUCAAAAUGGCUUCGCAUUAUUUGCACAAGGAUUGCUCUGUUCAUUUUUUAAAAUAUCCUUUUAUACAUCCAGUUUCCCCCAACAAAUGCUAAUCUCUAUAUAGUAGCUUUAUAGCAAUGAAUAAGACGAGAAUAUCUUUAAAGAGCAAAAAUCUUUCAGAUGUUCCAACAAUGGGCCUUUAUCAAAUAGAAUUCACUAUAAUUAUAUAUAUAUGUAUAUAUACAUAUAUAUAUAUAUGCAAAACAUAAUAGUAGACAGUUUCUUAGAGAUGAUAAUAGUAAGAAUUUGCUGUAUUUACCCCCAACCAAUGGCCAAUGACAUAUAUCCUGAGUUAAAAAUCUAAACUCCUAAAUAAAUAAUUCAUAAAUAUGUGAAGUUAAAAUGUUAAUUUGUCUAUGGGAAUGUGUUUCAUAUGCCAAUAUCAUCAACCCAGCGUAUUCUCAACCAUAUCAGAAACCAAUUGACAGGAUGGUUUUUAAAUUUUAAACAGACAAAAAUGAAAUUUAUGUUUCCAUCUUAUGCAAGAACUUUCAUCUUCACCCUUCAAGAUAACAUUUCAAUUCUCUAAGCAAUAGCUUUGCUGCAGGCAAUAUGAAAAUUUUCAAACAUAUAUCUGUCCUUUUAAAAAUACAACUAUAAAAAAACAAAAAAAUGCAAAUAAAGAAAACUAAUAAUCUAUAUUACUCAUGACAAUGAGACAGUUUCUCUUGUGUCUAUUUCCCUUAGAGGAAUAAAAAAUUCUAUGAGGAUUGUCAACAGAUCCCAAAAAGAAAUUGGCAAGCAAAGAAUAUUAUGUGUGGAUCUGGACAUAAAAAUCACCUAAGAGACAUUUCAUGGCCUAUUCUUUUCACAGAAGGCAAUCUAGUUGAGAAAAGAUCAUUAGUGUUGUUCUUUACUCUCCCAAAAGGAAAAUAUAUACAUAUAUAUAUAUAUAUAGCUAUUCAAAACAAAAUGCUCAAAUUUUCUAAUAUUCUGUGUAAUAAUUGAGAUCUAUUAUUCAAUAAUUUUCAUAACAAAAAUUUCUUAACAGAUAUUGUAAUGUUUCUUUUAAUGUACUAUUUAAUUUACAGGAACCAGUCAAGAUUAAAGUUUUUUUGUUUUUUUGUUUUUUAUGUUUCACAUGUAAAACAAGUUUCCUGGUAUUUUGAGUGAAAUUCACUAAAACAGACAGAGAUAUUCAUGCUUAUUUUGGUCCAUAGGCAAUGAUAACCUAUAAAGUUGUGCAGGUUGAUUAAAAUCACAAAAUUUUAUGUUUAAGGCUGUUAUGAUGUAGACGAUAUCAAGUUUUUCUUUCAAUACUGCAUAAUGUACAUCCAUCAUUGUUAAUAAAAACAGUAUGGAGAAAAUAGAACUCUGAGGUGUGCUUUCUUUGGAUAUAGAUAAAUACCUUUUUGUAAUUGAACACUGAAGGAGAAUUGCUUU
rnacentral:lncRNA from 1 species